UACGAAGGGGGCUAGCGUUGUUCGGAUUCACUGGGCGUAAAGGGUGCGUAGGUGGUGAGGUAAGUCGGAUGUGAAAGCUCGGAGCUCAACUCCGAAAUGGCAUUGGAAACUACCUUGCUCGAGGGUUGGAGGGGGGACUGGAAUACUUGGUGUAGCAGUGAAAUGCGUAGAUAUCAAGUGGAACACCAGUGGCGAAGGCGAGUCCCUGGACAACUCCUGACACUGAGGCACGAAAGCUAGGGGAGCAAACAGG
rnacentral:rRNA from 1 species